rnacentral:rRNA from 1 species
AUUGAACGCUGGCGGCAGGCUUAACACAGGCAAGACGAGCGAGCGGCGGACGGGUGAGUAAUGUCUGGGAAACGGAACGAUGGAGGGGGAUAACUACUGGAAACGGUAGCUAAUACCGCAUACCAUCAGAUGUGCCCAGAUGGGAUUAGCGAGUAGGUGGGGUAAUGGCUCACCUAGGCGACGAUCCCUAGCGUGUCUGAGAGGAUGACCAGCCACACUGGAACUGAGACACGGUCCAGACUCCUACGGGAGGCCGCAGUGUGGAAUAUUGCACACUGGGCGCAAGCCUGAUGCAGCCAUGCCGCGUGUGUGAAGAAGGCCUUCGGGUUGUAAAGCACUUUCAGCGAGGAGGCGUUACUCGCAGAAGAAGCACCGGCUAACUCCGUGCCAGCAGCCGCGGUAAUUC